rnacentral:rRNA from 1 species
GACGAACGCUGGCGGCGUGCCUAAUACAUGCAAGUCGAACGAAGCUGUUUUAACUGGUGCUUGCACCGACUUAAACAACUGAGUGGCGAACGGGUGAGUAACACGUGGGUAACCUGCCCCAAAGCGGGGGAUAACAUUUGGAAACAGAUGCUAAUACCGCAUAACCACAGAAACCACAUGGUUUCUGUGUCAAAGAUGGUUUCGGCUAUCACUUUGGGAUGGACCCGCGGCGUAUUAGCUAGUUGGUAAGGUAAUGGCUUACCAAGGCAAUGAGACGUAGCCAAACUGAGAGGUUGAUCGGCCACAUUGGGACUGAGACACGGCCCAAACUCCUACGGGAGGCAGCAGUAGGGAAUCUUCCACAAUGGACGAAAGUCUGAUGGAGCAACGCCGCGUGAGUGAAGAAGGUUUUCGGAUCGUAAAACUCUGUUGUCAGAGAAGAACGUGUGCGAGAGUAACUGCUCGUGCAGUGACGGUAUCUGGCCAGAAAGCCACGGCUAACUACGUGCCAGCCGCCGCGGUAA